rnacentral:rRNA from 1 species
UACUCCUACGGGAGGCAGCAGUGGGGAAUAUUGCACAAUGGGCGCAAGCCUGAUGCAGCCAUGCCGCGUGUAUGAAGAAGGCCUUCGGGUUGUAAAGUACUUUCAGCGAGGAGGAAGGCAUUAAGGUUAAUAACCUUAGUGAUUGACGUUACUCGCAGAAGAAGCACCGGCUAACUCCGUGCCAGCAGCCGCGGUAAUAC